GGUCUUGGGUGACAUAAUGUCUUUGUUCCAGCAGAGGUGUCACGGUGGCACAGGCUUAUCUUACUGUUUGGUUAGACUGUUAAUGUGCAAUGGUUUUUGCUCAGUCCUAAUUCUGUCGCCCAUUUUAUAAAGACUGGCGUGGUUUGAUGGCGUGAUUUUAGUUUGGUUUAUGUUUGGAGAUCACCAAUUCCUGAGUGGCUCUGCCCAGUUUUCUUUCUUUCCCAUCCUCUUCCUCUUAAGAUUUAUUUCUUUUGGUUUCAUGGGUGUAGGUGCUUUGCCUGCAUGUAUGUUCACCAUAUGUGUGUAUUGCCUGAUGAGGUCAGAAGAGGAGCUCAGAUCCCUUGAACCUACAGAUGGUUGUGAGCUGCCAUUUGGGUGCCCGUGCUCUUUAACUGCUGAGCCAUCUCUCCAGCCCCUCUCUGCUUAGUUUUCUAACCAUCUUUAAUCUUACGCCUCCACAUUUGUGGUGCACAAAUGCUUUAUGGAUUGAGAUCUAACCUAGACUGAGAGGAAACCUUUAGUGUAGAAAACAAGAAGCCAGGUUUUUUUUUUCCCCCCUUUGUGCUAGAUUUGCUUGUUAGAACUUGUGAGAAAUUCCUCUGCCCUCUGUGGUACCCAGUAGCUGGGGGGAAUGACCUGCCUCCGACCCCCUGGGAUGUGGCAGUUGAACAGGAUGCUCCACAGACCCACACAGCGCUCCUUUGGUUUUUACCACAUGCUUGGGAAUUGUGAGCGGAUUCCGCACACAGCCAUGGAAGCAGCUGCGGCUCGUGCACUCGCCGCUGGUCUCUGCCACCAGUGCUGUUUGUUCCCAGAUUUCCGCAGUACAACAAAGGCUAAAUCGGAAUGAAUAGAGGACAGCCUUCUGUGCUCUGAGUUAUUCCUGGCAUCUUUCCUAAAACAGAGAUCUCACAUGUAGACUGAUAGCUGCACCUGACUGUGGAAAGUGUUCUGUCCUUCGUUUGUCCCAGGCUGAUUUAAGUUGGGUGCUUUCAAUUUUACAUUUCAAAAUUUGACAUUUUUAUUAACUCUAGAUUUCCCCCACUGGACUGGAAGGUAUUCAAACUAGGAAAACAAGUUAGAGGGUUUGUGUAUUUGCUCUUGAUGCAGUGUCCUACUAUGAACCCCUGGCUGAUUUGGAACUAGCUAAGUAGACUAGGCUGGCCUCAUGCCCGCAUCUAACUCUCCAGAGCUGGAUUAUCAGUAAGUGUCCCGGGGCCCACCUGCCAUGUUUGUUUGUUGGGGAGUUUAGUUCAUGUUGAUUCCUCCUACCCUCCUUCUCUCUGUCUCUCUGUCUCUGUGUUUCUCUCUGUCUGUCUGUCUGUCUGACUCUUCCUUUGUUUCUGAGAUCCUUUCUCUGUAGCCCUGGCUGUCCUAGACCUCAGUCCAUAGACUUCCAGCCUUGAACUCAGACAUCCUCUUGCUUCUUCCUUCUGAGUGCUUGGUUUAAAGGCCUGUGCCGCUACUGCCUGGCUUAUGUUGACUUCUUC
rnacentral:lncRNA from 1 species